rnacentral:piRNA from 1 species
UGGAAAGCGCCUGGCAGUCCUCUCAUGUC